rnacentral:lncRNA from 1 species
UCCCCUUAUUGGUUUGAAAUUCCAUUAAAUAUAUUGCAAGAGCUCCUAGGUUAAGCUUGAUUUAAAUUUGCAUACAUUUUCAUAUAUUUAGCAGAAAUAAAAGAAGGCUUGCAGCUACCAGAAAGUCAUUAAGGCAUUAGUUUCUCUGAGAAGACAGAUCUGAAGAAAAUUCAAGAAAAUGAGAAAAUAGAUCUAAAUAAGCUCCAAACCCAGCUGUGGCUCAGGACCCGUGGAUGCAGCCCCAGUUUCUUCCCACACCUCAUGGAUUCAGUCUGGAGAAAAGGCUGCCUGGCCAUGACAAACUGACCGUUGGCUCCGUGAUUUGUGUGGAGUUGAAUACAUUGGUUAACUGCAAGCAGUAUGUUCUGAAGAUGAUGGUGUUCAGACAAAUACCCAAUUUGAUUCUGAUAAAUUGGAUGCAAGACUUUGACCAGCGCAUUAUGGAAGCAGGCAGCAUCCCAGACCUGUGGAGAAGCUCAGCAGGAGAACAAGUGGGGGAAAAUAUUCCCAAUGUCAUGCUGCUGCUGGUGGCUCAGGCACAGGAACAGGGGCCUGUGGUGGUCCAGCUCUUUGGAAAGUUUUGUACAGAAACCAGGAGGAUCUAAGAGCUGGAGCUAAUCCGUGAGUAAGAAACAGGAUGAUCAGCAACUAGAUUUGCCUGGACAAAGAUGGAGAUGGAUAAAUCUUGAUUUGGAGCAUGAUUGAAGUGAAGCCAUCAUCUUCCAAGAAAUCAUCAGCUUUUUUUCUGGGAAUCCGAGAGAUACUUUGUGGCACAUUCUUCCCUUUCUGCCUCCUGUUUUCAUCUGUAAUUGGAAAUGUAUUUUGUGAGAGAAAAUAAAACAAACAUCCAGUAGAUACAAAAGUACCAAGAACCUUCAGCUUUGGCUAAUCCCUGUAGACAGCACAGAGAGAAACAAAAUGUUCUGUAGCUAUAACUGAGAGACAGAAAAAAAAUCUGUGUUUAAUAAACAUUUAAAGGAAGAAUUACACGUGCCACAAAUCCCCUUUUAUAUUGCACUUAAAAUCUCCUUACCUGCCCUUUAGUUUUCAUGGUUUUCCUUAUCUUCAGUGUCACUUAAUCAUAUUUCAACAGGAUUUGCUUCCUUGCUGCCCAUCUGCUCUUCCUUUCUAGUGCAGCAUUAAUGCCACAACACCAUCCCAGUAGCUCCCUUCUAUGCCACUUGGAUGUCAGGCACCCAGGGAUUCAGGAUUUUUCCAUUCAGGUUCAGACAGAAAAGAAAAAUACCAGGUUUGGAGGAGUGACAGAUCCUGAUUUCAAAUGGAAAUGUUCAGAGCAGGGCGGGGAUGAAGGGGCAGUGAACAAAACUUGGAUUCCUGUGGAUGGGAAAUGUUGGGAUCCAGUGGUGGUCUGUGCUGCUGCUGGCCAUGGGGAGCUUCUCCUGGCCCUGGGGAGAUGCAGGCACUGCUCUGCUUUGAGUCUGUGCAAAAGAAGGACCAUCCUCUGAGGAUAUUCACAAAAUUAAUUAAUGAGCCUCUGUCAAGGCUGGGUUCACCCCUGGACACCCACCUGGCUUGUGUGGGCUGCCCAGUUGGAUCUGUGUUUGCUGAGUUAGAGACAUCAUUUGGAGAGUCUUCAUGUGGUUUAUUAACCCUAAAAGCAUUGCAUUAAUAAUCUUUGUAUUUAUGCCUUUCUUAUUUUCCGAGUUAAGGAAGACUUUGUGUAUUGUGUCUGAACAAUUUAGGAGCAGAAUGGUGUGGGAAGGGCUCCUGGAAAGGGGAGAAUGUUUUUCUUUAGUGUUGAUAGGAGCUCUCCCAAAAAAGUUAUGUGCUGCUUUUUGCACUAAAAAAUGUGAAAAAAAAUUUAAAGAAAUCCAUUCUAAUUCUUCAUGUAAUUGUAAAUUAGUCCUUAAGUCAUUGAUGGGAACAGGUCUGUGGUACAGCUGGGGAUGUAAUUCUCUCUCACACCACUACCUUUGCUGGACAUUAAGCUUUUAUGAUAAUGAAUAAAAACCCCUUUU